rnacentral:rRNA from 1 species
UACCAGCACCCCGAGUGGUCGGGACGAUUAUUGGGCCUAAAGCAUCCGUAGCCGGCCUUACAAGUCCUCCGUUAAAUCCAGCUGCUUAACAGAUGGGCUGCGGAGGAUACUAUAAGACUAGGAGGCAGGAGAGGCAAGCGGGUAGCUCAGUGGGUAGGGGUAAAACUCCGUUGAUCCAUUGAAGACCACCAGUGGCGAAGGCGGCUUGCCA